rnacentral:rRNA from 1 species
GACGAACGCUGGCGGCGUGCUUAACACAUGCAAGUCGAGCGGAAAGGCCACUUCGGUGGUACUCGAGCGGCGAACGGGUGAGUAACACGUGAGUAAUCUGCCCCUGGCUUUGGGAUAGCCACCGGAAACGGUGAUUAAUACCGGAUACGACCACUUCUCGCAUGGGAUGGUGGUGGAAAGUUUUUUCGGCCAGGGAUGUGCUCGCGGCCUAUCAGCUUGAUGGUGAGGUAAUGGCUCACCAUGGCUUCGACGGGUAGCCGGCCUGAGAGGGUGCCCGGUCACACUGGGACUGGGACACGGCCCAGACUCCUACGGGAGGCAGCAGUGGGGAAUAUUGGACAAUGGGCGGAAGCCUGAUCCAGCAACGCCGCGUGAGGGAUGACGGCCUUCGGGUUGUAUACCUCUUUCAGCAGGGACGAAGCGCAAGUGACGGUACCUGCAGAAGAAGCACCGGCCAACUACGUGCCAGCCGCCGCCGUAA